AUUGAACGCUGGCGGCAGGCCUAACACAUGCAAGUCGAGCGGAUGAAGGGAGCUUGCUCCUGGAUUCAGCGGCGGACGGGUGAGUAAUGCCUAGGAAUCUGCCUGGUAGUGGGGGAUAACGUCCGGAAACGGGCGCUAAUACCGCAUACGUCCUGAGGGAGAAAGUGGGGGAUCUUCGGACCUCACGCUAUCAGAUGAGCCUAGGUCGGAUUAGCUAGUUGGUGGGGUAAAGGCCUACCAAGGCGACGAUCCGUAACUGGUCUGAGAGGAUGAUCAGUCACACUGGAACUGAAACACGGUCCAGACUCCUACGGGAGGCAGCAGUGGGGAAUAUUGGACAAUGGGCGAAAGCCUGAUCCAGCCAUGCCGCGUGUGUGAAGAAGGUCUUCGGAUUGUAAAGCCCUUUAAGUUGGGAGGAAGGGCAGUAAGUUAAUACCUUGCUGUUUUGACGUUACCAACAGAAUAAGCACCGGCUAACUUCGUG
rnacentral:rRNA from 1 species